rnacentral:rRNA from 1 species
GACGAGGGGUCCAAGCGUUGUUCGGAAUCAUUGGGCGUAAAGCGGGUGUAGGCGGCUCUAUAAGUCAGAAGUGAAAGCCCCGAGCUUAACUCGGGAAGUGCUUUUGAUACUGCAGAGCUUGAAUGUGGGAGAGGGUAGUGGAAUUCCAGGUGUAGUGGUGAAAUACGUAGAUAUCUGGAGGAACACCGGUGGCGAAGGCGGCUACCUGGCCCAACAUUGACGCUAGACCGAAGCAUGGGGAUCAAACAGGGA